rnacentral:lncRNA from 10 species
CGGGUUCUCGCCAUUCUCCUGCCUCAGCCUUCCGAGUAGCUGGGACUAUAGGUGCCCGCCACCACGCCAGGCUAAUUUUUUGUAUUUUUAGUAGAGAUGGGGUUUCACCGUGUUAGCCAGGAUGGUCUCGAUCUUCUGACCUCGUGAUCCGCCCGCCUCGGCCUCCCAAAGUGCUAGGAUUACAGGCGUGAGCCACCGCGCCCGGCAGCAAAUUUUAAUACUACUUCUCCUUCCUGAUGCCACGUGAAGAAGGACAUGUUUGGUUACCCUUCUGCCAUGAUUCUGAGUUCCCUGAGGCCUCCUCAGCCCUGCAGAACUGCUUCAGCUUGCUAAAGAUUGGUGAAAGAUGAUGGCUGAUCUAGGACAUAUUCACCGAGGACAAAACGAGACAGAUUAUGCUUUGGAGACAUCUUUCCGGGGAUACUUUAAAAUCUGGCUUAAAAGCUUGUGGGAGACGAGACAGAAAGUACCAAUUAUCUGUAGAUAACCACGUUUCUCUGCCUGUGACAUUGUAGUUAGUUACCCAUCACCAACUGGAUUUUUUUUUUCCCCAGAAGGAGGAGUGGGCUUGCUGUAAGCCAGGAUAUCUUAGCCUCAGCACUAUUGGCAUUUGGGACCAGAUAAUUCUUUGUUGGGAGGUGCGAGGGGAUGAUCCUGUGCAUUGCAGGAUGUUUGGUAAUAUCCUUGUCCUGUGAAAACUGAUGUGUCUCCAGACAUUGUCAUCUUCCCCAGUUGAGAACUACUGUUCUAAACUAUCCACACUCUCUUUACCAGAUGCACUGGAAAACAAGCUAAGCAUACAUGAAAAAGAUGGGUAAGGUGAGGGAGGAGCCGUUGGCUCACUACCGUUACUUUCAAUGGCAGUGAAGAAAGCUUAGUUUCCAAAUAAUGCCCUCAAAUUGGCACAUUUUUUUAAAUUGUAGGAAAAUACAUAUAACACAAAAUUUAUUAUCUUAAUCAUUUUUAAGUAUGCAGUUCAGUAUUGUUAAAUAUAUUUACAUUGUUGUAUAAUCAAUCUCCAUAACUUUUUCAUCUUGCAAAACUGAAACUCUAUACUCAUUAAACUCCCUGCUUCCCCCCAGCACCAGGCCACUGGAAUUCUAUUUUCUGUCUCCAUGAAUUGGACCACACUAGGUCUCUCAUUCAUAUAAGUGGAUUCAUACAGAAUUUGUCAUUUUGUGACCAGCUUACGUGACUUGGCAUAAUGUCCUCAAAGUUCAUACAUAUUGUCGCAUGUCAGGCUUUUCUUCCUUUUUAAGGUAGAGUAAUAUUCCAUUGAAUGGAUAUGCCACAUUUUCUUUAUCUGUUCAUCUACCAGUGGGCAUGUGGGUUGCUUCCACCUUUUGGCUAUUGUGACUAAUGCUGCUGUGAACAUGGGUACACAAAUAUCCUUGAGACCUUGCCUUGAAUUAUUUUUGACAAAAAUCCAGAAAUGGAAUUGCUGGAUCAUACAACAAUUGUAUUUUUAAUAUUUUGAGGAACAGACAGACUGUUUUGCAUAGCACCUGGACCAUUUUACAUUCCAACCAGCAAUGCAAUUGAUCCACAUUCUCACCAACACUUGUUAUUUUACGUUUUUUGUAGUAGCCAUCUUGAUAAAUGUGGGGUGAUAUCUCAUUGUGUUUUCUUCACAACUUUAUUAAGGUAUAAUUGAUAUACAAAUAACUGUAUAUAUUUUAUGUAUACAAUGUGAUGCAUUUUGACAUACACAUGUGGAUCAGUGAUAGCAUAGACUAGGUAAUAAAUAUGUACAUACCUCCAAAAGUUUUUUGUGUCCUUUUACUUUUUAUUUUUGGUAGUAAUAACACUUAACAUAAGAUACAUCUUCUUAAUAAAUUUUUAAGUGAACAAUACCAUAUUGUUAACUACAGGCACUACGUUGUACAGCAG